UACGUAGGUGGCAAGCGUUGUCCGGAUUUACUGGGCGUAAAGAGCGCGCAGGCGGUCGUACAAGUCGGAUGUGAAAGCCCCCGGCUCAACUGGGGAGGGUCAUUCGAUACUGUUCGACUCGAAGGCAGGAGAGGGAAGUGGAAUUCCGGGUGUAGUGGUGAAAUGCGUAGAUAUCCGGAGGAACACCAGUGGCGAAGGCGACUUUCUGGCCUGUUCUUGACGCUGAGGCGCGAAAGCUAGGGGAGCAAACGGG
rnacentral:rRNA from 1 species